rnacentral:rRNA from 1 species
UUCCCCUAGUAACUGCGAGUGAAGCGGGAAAAGCUCAAAUUUAAAAUCUGGUAGUCUUUGGCUGCCCGAGUUGUAAUCUAGAGAAGNGUUAUCCGCGCUGGACCGUGUAUAAGUCUCCUGGAAUGGAGCGUCAUAGAGGGUGAGAAUCCCGUCUUUGACACGGACUCCCAGGGCUUUGUGAUGCGCUCUCAAAGAGUCGAGUUGUUUGGGAAUGCAGCUCUAAAUGGGUGGUAAAUUCCAUCUAAAGCUAAAUAUUGGCGAGAGACCGAUAGCGAACAAGUACCGUGAGGGAAAGAUGAAAAGAACUUUGGAAAGAGAGUUAAACAGUACGUGAAAUUGUUGAAAGGGAAACGCUUGAAGUCAGUCGCGUUGGCCGGGGAUCAACCUUGCUUUUGCAUGGCGUACUUCCUGGUUUAACGGGUCAGCAUCAAUUUUGACCAGUGGAAAAAGAUCAGGGGAAUGUGGCAUCUUUGGAUGUGUUAUAGCCUCUGGUCGUAUACAUUGGUUGGGAUUGAGGAACUCAGCACGCCGCAAGGCCGGGUUUUAACCACGUUCGUGCUUAGGAUGCUGGCAUAAUGGCUUUAAUCGACCCGUCUUGAAACACGGACCAAGGAGUCUAACAUACCUGCGAGUGUUUGGGUGGAAAACCCAAGCGCGUAAUGAAAGUGAAAGUUGGGAUCUCUGUCGUGGAGAGCACCGACGCCCGGACCAGACCUUCUGUGACGGAUCCGCGGUAGAG